GAUGAACGCUGGCGGCGUGCUUAACACAUGCAAGUCGAACGAGUGGCGAACGGGUGAGUAACACGUGGGUGAUCUGCCUUGUACUUCGGGAUACGCCUGGGAAACUGCUUCUAAUACCGGCUAGUACGGGGUGAUCCCGCGGCCUAUCAGCUUGUUGGUGGGGUAGUGGCUACCAAGGCGCGACGGGUCGCCGGCCUGAUAGGGUGUACGGCCAGAUUGGGACUGAGACACGGCCCAGACGCCUACGGGAGGCAGCAGUGGGGAAUAUUGUGCAAUGGGCGGAAGACUGAUGCAGCGACGCCGCGUGAGGGAUGACGGCCUUCGGGUUGUAUACCUCUUUCGCUAGGGAAGCGGUACCUGGAUAAGAAGCACCGGCUAACUACGUGCCAGCAGCCGCGGGAAUAC
rnacentral:rRNA from 1 species